CAACGAUGGUCUCUUCAUUUUCUAGCACCGUCAUUACCAGAAAUGUAGGUGUUGCAAACGUGGUUGUAAUUGAUCCCUAAAACCAGCCAGAGCAUCUGACCCUUGGGCAAGGGGAUCUUUAAGAAAAACAAAAAACCUUCAGACAUGACGAAGUGGUCGCCCACUGCCGUUACUUUUGAGUGAAGGACUUCAUCUACUUGGUAGGCUGCUAUGAAAAAAUGGGGUGGGCGCUAUAUGUCAUCUCACAUUUGUAAAUCCAGAGGGCAUUUAAAAAUUGGGGGAAAGCGACAUGUAAAAUGAAAUCUUUAGUGGGUAUGAUGUCAUAAAGUGAAAGUUUAAAGUUGGGCGGCUUGCUUUGGUUGACAUCUUUUUUAAAACCUGAAAAUCUGCUUAAGCCCAAAUGCACAUAAUUAAAACUUCAAACUAUUUGAAAUAAAAGACUUAGCUAUAUUUACAUCCGUUUUUGUGGUAUCUUUAUUUUGGGGAAAUCCUUGUUUCAGAUAAAAAAAAUGCUCUGCUUGGAAAAUAGCUAGAAUGCAGGAAAAAUACCGCCAAAGUUGAAUUCUAGGAAUUGUUUUCUUUAUAUUAGAUGCGUGAAUUGCUGGGUACAGUGGCUAACGCCUGUAAUCUCAGCACUUUGGGAGGCGGAGGCGGGCGGAUCACGAGGUCAGGAGUUCAAGACCAGCCUGGCCAACAUGGUGAAAUUCCGUCUCUACUAAAAAUAGAAAAAUUCACUGUGCAUGGUGGUGCACGCCUGUAAUCCCAGCUACUCAGGAGGUUGAGGCAGGAGAAUUGCUUAACCAGGAGCAUCAUUGCUUGACUGUGACCCGGGAGGCAGAGGUUGCAGUGAGCCAAGAUCCCGCCACCACACUCCAGCCUGGGCUACAGAGCAAGACUGUCUUAAAAAAAAAAAAAUGCGUGAUUUAAGCCACUUGAAUUUUGUUUUCAUCUCUAAAACGGGUAUAUUUAAUCUAACGUGCUUAUUUUAUUACAGUUAAAUCCUGUGGGAGUGAAUUUUAUGUGAUGGACUUUUAAUAUAAUUUAAUAUAGUCAGAUUUAACUUUCAAGAAAUUUCAUUUUUCUCAUGUAAUUUUGUCGAGUGAUUUGAAAACACAAAAAGAAGUUAAACAUGUUAAGUUUAAUGUUAAAAGUAUUGUUGCCUUUUUAGUCCGGCAUGCAUGUAAUCAUACAAUCAUUCAGAAAAUGUUUUUUGUGGCCCCGCGCGGUGGCUCAAGCCUGUAAUCCCAGCACUUUGGGAGGCCGAGGCGGGUGGAUCACGAAGUCAAGAGAUCGAGACCAUCCUGGUCAAAAUGGUGAAACCCCGUCUCUACUAAAGAUACAAAAAAUUAGCUGGGCAUGGUGGCGCGUGCCUGUAAUCCCAGCCACUUGGGAGACUGAGGCAGGAGAAUUGCCUGAACCCAGGAGGCGGAGGUUGCGGUGAGCCAAGAUCGCGCCAUUGCACUCCAGCCUGGAUAACAAGAGCGAAACUCCGUCUCAAAAAAAAAAAAAAAAAGAAAAGAAAAUGUUUUUUGCGCUCCUGUGUAUCAAAUAUGCUGGUAGGCAGAGUUUACUUGCAGCAAAGAAGAUGAAUUUUAAGACAGCUGGUUACAUGAUUACUUGGUUGGUUAUAGUUAUAAGCGCUAUGAGAGAGAAGUGCGGGAUGCUGUGAAAACAAGUAACCUUUCUCCAAGGGUCACAGAGGUUUCUUUGAGGAAGUAGCUCUUGGAAAGAGGUCUGAGGGAAAUAGAUUGGGGUAAGUUUCAGUGGGAAGAAGCAUUCUCUGCAGGCUCAAUUCAGUAAAGGCCUUGAGGGACGGAGAAAGCCUGUGAAACUGAACAAAAUGGCAAGGAGGGAAGGCACGGUGGUGCACACCUGUAAUCCCAGCACUUGGGGAGGCUAAGGAGAGAGGAUUGCUUGAGCCCAGAAGUUGGAGACUAGCCUGGGCAAUAUAGGAACACCUCAUCUGUACUGUAAUUUUUUUAAUAAUUAGCCAGUGGUGGUGGCACAUGCUUGUAGUCCCAGCUACUCCAGAGACUUAGGCCGGAAGAUCUCCUGAGCCCAGGGGAUCCAGGCUGCAGUUAGCCAUAGUUGUGCCGGGAUGACAGAGCAAGACCCUGUCUCAAAAAAAAAAAAGAAAAGAAAUGACUGGGAAAGAAAGAAGAUAAGGUGGGCAGGGUAGGCCGGGUCAAAACAUGCAGGACUUUGUUGACCGUAGGAAAACGUUUAGCUGGGGAAUGUCGUGAUCAGAUUUGCAUACUUAAAAUACUACUGGGGCGGGGCGCCAUGGCUGACGUCUGUAAUACCGACGCUUGGGAAGCCAAGGCAGCGCGGAUCACGAGGUCCAGAGAUGGAGACCAUCCUGGCCAACAUGAUUAAACCCCAUCUCUACUAAAAUACAAAAAAUUAGCCAGGCGUAGUGGUGCAUGCCUGUAGUCCCAGCUACUAAGGAGGCUGAGGAAGGGAGGCAGAACUUGUUACAUUGAGCCGAGAUCGCGCCACUGCACUCCAGCCUUUCGACAGAGCAAGACUCCAUCUCAAAAAAUAAUAAUAAUAAAUAAAAUACUACUCUGACAGAAGUGUGGAGGAUCAUUUAGAGGAAGAGAAUCACUUAAGACCAUUAUUUAAGCAAGAGAUUACAGUGGCUUGGAUUAGGAUGGAUGGCAGUGGAAAUAGAGAAAGGGGAAAGAUAGGAGAAAAUUUGUUGGGGGUGGGGAUUGAAUUGGAAGUGGGGGAAUGAAGGAAAGAUUAAAGGAUGGCAAGGAGAACAUUAGGUUAAGCGUAUCUCCCUGGGUUUCUAGCUUGUAUUGCUGCCUUUCACUGGGGAAGGGAUCACUGGAGAAUCAUGGGUUUUAUUUUGGGUCAGCAGAGAAGAGAUCAUGAGUUUGAUUUUGUACAUUUUGAUUUUGAGGUGCCUGUGAGAUAACCAAGGAUAGAUGACACAAGCACUUCGAUAUAUUGAUUUUGAGCGCUGGAGAAGUCUAGACUAGUUUUUAAAACCUGAGCUGUUUAGCCUUAGAUAGUAAUUGAACUCAUUUACCGGGUGGGAUCCAUCUUUGAAGAAUUCCAACAUUUUUUUAAAGACAAGAAGAGGUGGAUUAACUAGGAAACAGAAGGCAAGCCCAAGUACACUGUCACCAGGUGUUUCAGUGAAGGUGUAUUAAAAUGUCACUGGAAAGCUAUUAAAAUGUCAAGCAAAAUGAGGGCUAAAAGGUAUCCACUAGGGGAGUGGGACGUCCGGAUUCUGAGUGGUAACCUUUAUCGUGACAGCGGCGAACAAAGAGAAUUAAAUAUGGCUGAUGUUGAGAAAGGCAAGAGGAUUUUUGUUCAGAAGUGUGUCCAGGGCCACACCGAGGAAAAGGCAGGCAAGCACAAGACUGGGCCUCAUCUCCAUGGUCUCUGGGCGGAACACAGGUUGGGCGGAUGGGUUCUCUUACACCUAGCCAGUAAGAACAGAGGCAUCACCUGGGGAGAGGAUAUGCUGAUGAAGUAUUUGGAGAAUCCCAAGAAGUACAUCCCUGAAACAAAAAUUAUUUUUGUCGGCAUUAAGAGGAAGGGAGAAAGAGCAGAGCUGAUAGCUUAUCUCAAAAAAGCUACUAAUGAGUAAUAAUUGGCCACUGCCUUAUUUAUUACAGAACAAAUGUCAUGACUUUUCUAUGUGUACCGUACUUUACUAGAUCUCAUACACCGGAAUUUACAUCAUGAAUGACUGACAGAAUAUUUUGUUGGGCAGUCCUGAUUUAAAACUUAAGACUGGCUUGUGGUUAAAUGAAUACGUUCAGUUUUUUAAUUUUAAUAGUAAUUCCAAUUUAGUAAAUGCUAUCACUGUUUACCCCUUCUAAAGAUAUGCUUAGCCUUCUUUAGUAAUGUUAAACUUUUCACAGAUGGUGAUCGCCAUCUUAAAACUUACUGGAGAUUGGUUUUAUAUUUAGAUUUAUAUAACUAGUUAUAUGAAUAUAUUUAAAUAUGGGGAAAUUCCUUCAGAGUCUCAGAACCAAGCAAGAUUCACCUGUGUUUUGUGUUCAUUUGUCUCUUAAAGGCAAAGGUUGAAGAUAAAUGGGUAGCAAUUGCUACUUUAUAUUUUUGACCUUAACUAUGCCAGUCUAAUUAGAAUUCACUGUAUUUAAAAUGGUUCCUCUUACAUAUUGAAAGGCAUUUUAGUGUGGUUUAUGUGUAAUAUCAAAAAUUAUUUAACACUUAACACAUUUUAUAGAUGAUCUAUAAGGUCACAUGCUUUUAAAAUAGUAGCCAACUAAAUUUCACUCUUGGGUUCUUUCCAAUCUAAGUCAAAGUAAGUUAUGAUUUAGGGUUGUCUGUAGCCAUUCAGAAACAAAACUGUACAACUGCUGUGUAUUUGUGAUUGAAAAUGGUGCUUUUGCCAACUUAAAAGAAGGAUUAAAGUAGAGGAGAUAUACACAUAAUUUAAAAAUUAUGUGUGAUCAUAUGACUUAAGAUAAUCAAAAAGAAAACCACAGAUCAUGGGGAGAAAAAAAGAACUAUCCACUAGCAUUGACAAAACCCCUUGGAUUGAUCGAUGACUUAUUAAGUACCACCACCAAUUGUUUUACGUUUUGUACUGACAGAGACUCACCUUAACCAAACUUUACAUAGCUUCCUCCAAGCUCUCCUUUUGAUUAGGCCUUGUCAUUUGGGAGUCAUUUGGGACUUAUGGUCAGCCUGUCUGGCUCAGUUUUAACAAGAAUCCUUCUAAGUCCAUUAGUUUUGUUUGUUUGUUAUUUUUUGAGGGGUGGGUUGUUCUUGGAUUUUGUUUUUGUUUUGUUUUGUUUUUGGGGGUGUUUUUUUGAGAUUGGGUAUCACUUUGUCACCCAGGCUGGAGUGCAGUGGUGCAGUCAUGGCUCACUGCAGCCUCAACUUCCCUUACUCAAGCAAGCCCCUUAAUAGCUGGGACCACAGGUAUGCAUCACCACAUCUGCUUAAUUCUUUUUUUUUUGUUUU